rnacentral:rRNA from 1 species
CUACGGGGGGCUGCAGUGGGGAAUAUUGCACAAUGGGCGCAAGCCUGAUGCAGCCAUGCCGCGUGUAUGAAGAAGGCCUUCGGGUUGUAAAGUACUUUCAGCGGGGAGGAAGGGAGUAAAGUUAAUACCUUUGCUCAUUGACGUUACCCGCAGAAGAAGCACCGGCUAACUCCGUGCCAGCAGCCGCGGUAAUACGGAGGGUGCAAGCGUUAAUCGGAAUUGCUGGGCGUAAAGCGCACGCAGGCGGUUUGUUAAGUCAGAUGUGAAAUCCCCGGGCUCAACCUGGGAACUGCAUCUGAUACUGGCAAGCUUGAGUCUCGGAGAGGGGGGUAGAAUUCCAGGUGUAGCGGUGAAAUGCGUAGAGAUCUGGAGGAAUACCGGUGGCGAAGGCGGCCCCCUGGACGAAGACUGACGCUCAGGUGCGAAAGCGUGGGGAGCAAACAGGAUUAGAUACCCCAGUAGUC